GGCUUUGGAACUUGGAUUGGAGCCUUUUGGAGGAAAGAUUUCUAACCCUAUCUCACUCUUAGCUUGGUUUGGAGCUUCUAGAGAGGUUAGUUGUGAAGCUUUCUAGCUUCGAUUUGGACUUUGGACAAGAUUUUCUUGGUCUAAGGGUGCUAGAAGGUUGGGG